UCAAAUCUUUUUUUAUAUUUGUUUUGGCAGGUUUAAUAAUUGGAGGAAUUUUGUUUGUUAUGCAGAUACAUUGAACCAGAACACUAAUAAUUUUCAUGCGACUCCAUCAAUGAGCACACACCAUAGUUAUAGUAUAGUUCCGUUCGCGCUUAUACUAGCUAUAAGAAAUCUCUCAUGACUCUGCAGAGUAGUUUGUUUGUACAAAAUGAUAGGUAAAAAGAGUUCCGAAGAACAAAUGUGUUCAAACUGUAACGAGCAAACAAGCUUUACUUCAAUUUGAAGACGACAAGAGAAGCGGCUGCGAAUCCACCAGCUAUAACAAAGCUGUUGCUUGCUAAACAAACAAAAAAGGAAGCUUCUUUGUUGUGGAGCUGAAACACAACACCGCCAAGUCGGAAAUACUUAAGCCAGUUAUCCUUCUCUUGUAAAUCAAAACAAAUUAGAAAGGAAUUUUCCAGCAUAGAGAUUCUCAGACGCAAACCUCAAACUUGCUCUUCAUGUGUUUUUUUUCUCUUGUUCUUUGCAUAUGUUUGUCCGCUGGAGGAGACGAGAGUCACAUUCCUUAACUCCUCGUGUGUUUUUAAGCCACUUGGUCUGUGUGACACAACACUGGUUUCAUCACAUUUCUGAGUUACCAAGAAACAGCUGAAG
rnacentral:lncRNA from 1 species